rnacentral:rRNA from 1 species
UACGUAGGGGGCAAGCGUUGUCCGGAAUCAUUGGGCGUAAAGAGCGUGUAGGCGGCCCGGUAAGUCUGUUGUGAAAGUCCAGGGCUCAACCCUGGAAAGCCGAUGGAUACUGCCGGGCUAGAGUUCGGAAGAGGCGAGUGGAAUUCCUGGUGUAGCGGUGGAAUGCGCAGAUAUCAGGAGGAACACCGAUGGCGAAGGCAGCUCGCUGGGACGGUACUGACGCUGAGGCGCGAAAGCGUGGGGAGCGAACAGG